UUUUUUUAACUUUUUUUUUGCUUUUUGGCGGAUACCUUUUUUUUAACUUCUUAUUUAUCAAUAUAGGAGCAAAUUUUUAAUUGACAUAGGCGAUCCAUACCGCGGGGGGCGAAGCGUCCCGCACCCCCCUCGGAUGUCAGUGGUGGGCUACGGGCUCGGACCUAUCGGCCCGAGCCCUCCGCUUCUACCACAAACAUCUAUUUUUUCUUCACAAAAUAUUUUAUCAAAAUUUAUUGCACCGCGAAACUUUCGAUGAAUCAAAGGAACAAAAAUCGAUUUCCUAAACAAAUUUUGAUUAGAUAUUUUUAAAAAGAAUAAAAAAACAAA
rnacentral:lncRNA from 1 species